UUCAGAAAGAACAGACGCCAUUAGUCUUACGCACACACCGUUCGAUGAUUGACGAUUCUUGUCCACAUCAGGAAUUUUUGACAGUUAGACUUUAACGUCCGUGACGUGAUAAGCUGGUGGAUCGUAAAUCGGUCAGCAUUUGCACAGGUCACAGAUGAAUUCACAUUGACACGCGAAGACUUGUGUCAAAAUGAGAAAAGAAAUUGCGAGGAAAAAAUCGAGGAAGAAACGUUCAAAGAAAUUUAUCCCGUGCAGGAGUGCAUUCAUGGAGAAGUUGGCGGCCUUGCGGUAGUUUUACUGUACCGUAACGCCGGUACUUUAUCGACUACGUUCCUGCAACGGGCGUCCGUCCGACGUGCAUUCUGCACUAAGGACAAUACUUAACAGCCUCAUACAUCGUAUAGGAGUAAGUACGAUAUCAUAAAUGGAAUUGAUAUUGAAAUUACGAAAAUGACAGACGCCGACCACUAUGGAUAUACACAAAGAGAAUAGGCAGUAGGCAUGUCCUAUAAAAUAGAUAAUAGAUGCGUUCACGACCCAAACCUACAUUUCUCAAUUGCUGCGGUUGCUCCAGAUCCUCGCUUUAUCGGAUGGCUAAGAAUUAAUUGAACAAAAUCGAUCGUUCGCCGAAUAACGGACAACGGCAUUAUACCGACGUCAACACCAGUUGAGCAUACUAAUUUUUUAAUUAUCAUCAUCAUAUGUUCCUAAUUACAAUAACUAUGAUAAUGAGAGCCGUAAAGAGAAUAGAAAUUGUAUUCAUUCCGGCUGAAUAACAGUAUAUGCUUAUACUACCAGGCUACCGAACAGUACUAAUAAAGGAUAAAGGAAGAAGUUACCUAUCCGCUUCCUUGGUCAAAAGAGCAACUUCAUCUUUACCAACAAAACACGUCUCUUUGAUAACAGGUUUUUCUUUAAAAAAAUACAUAUUUCUCAUUUUGCCCAUUUACAACGCACUGUAGUGUCCGCCGCAUGCGAUAAAUAGUUUUAUUAUGUUAAUAAGAGUAUACAGUAUCCUUUCUUCGAAGCACGCGCCACACACUACAUAUAUUUUUCUCAAUAUACCAGUAUCAUACUUACACAUACUUCAUAGUGAAGUGUGAAAUUCUCUUGAGGUCAGGUCAAGCAACGAGGUAUACGUAUGUGAUUUAUGCACCGAUUAAGUCGACUCUAUUGACUCGAUCCAGUCUGAUAAUAUAUUAUACAAUUUUAUUGACUAUGAUUAAUCGAUGACUGUCGCGGCAUCAGACAGCUGACAGUAACCGCCAUGUAUGGUUUCUAUCUUUAAAUAAAAGAACAGCUGUCGUGAGAAUCAAGUUCAUGCACAGGUGCGUAAGUGGUACCAGGCUUGGCGAACAUAGAAGACAUCGACGCUUGGUUAGAGCUGUUCGAAUUCCGACUCCACCCUUGAAUACGUACACGUAUAUACAUAUAUAGCAAUGAUAUAUAUUGCAUUGCCUAUAUUAGAUUUUUUUUAGAAUAUUUCUUCUAUGCCGUCGGCUACGCUCCAGUGGAUGGCCUACAGGAGUGUCUACAGGAGUCUGUAGAUAUAACGGGUUCCUUGAACGAGAAUCCGAAUGUACAAUUUUGCCGGUUCAUUAAUGGCUUCGAUGACGUCACGGAAUAGGCACGUUGCAACAACAUUCUAUACUCUAUUGGUCCGAAGUAUUUCCACUAUUCUUGCGCUCUGUUUCUUUCACGCGGGGUACCGAUCGUGUCGCGCUCUAAACCCUGAAGAGACAGUUCUUUUGAUCAGCGAACCGCGUCCACUUCGUGUGCCCACGAUACUUGCUGACCCACUUCCGUCAUCGGAGCGUCACUUCGCACUGGGACAGGUUUAUCAUACAUAAGUCUCGUUGAACCCACUGGGCCCCUCAAGUAUUGAAAGAAACAAAAGAGAGACUGGGUCAGGACCACUAUUCGCGGCUCGUUGAUCGAGUUACGAACAAGAGGGAACUUAAGUUUCUUUCAGCAUUGAUUGCAACACUGAUUUCGAAAGACCCGUCCCGGUAAUAUCAACCAUCGCGUGGUCACUGAUAAAGGAAAAAUAUAUUCCUGCCACGAAAUCCUGGAAGAAUUUAAGGAAUUCAACCCUCGGGAUACUUCGAGGAAGUUUCAAAGAUACGAGCGAACCUUGUUGCUCCCACAGUAAACGCCAACACUUUCGAAAUCACCGGCAGCGCCCAAAAUGGAGAAGCAUGAAGCUUGAGGAUGACCCGAUUCCGGGUGUCCUUGACCGAGCAGUCUGAAGAUAGUUAGAAAUGCCAGUAGUCAGUGGGGGUACUCUCCGUUAACUCUGAACCUGUUACCGCCUAAGAACGCCUCAGGCCCAACGAGUCUCAUAUACGCGCAUUCCUCGCAGCCAUUACGUACGCCAAGGACCUGGACGAUCCACAGAGAAUCUAAAUCCAUCGAAGGAUUCUGACAGCCACGUGACAUCGUAUAAAUUCACCAGCCUGUCAUCCUAAAUAAUCAAACAAUAACAUCAACCCACCAAGGAUACGUGAUCUAACGAGCUGAUGCAUAUCUGAAGAGAUAAAAAAAAAUCGACAACUCACCACAAAA